GACGAACGCUGGCGGCGUGCUUAACACAUGCAAGUCGAAGCGGUAAGGCCCUUUACGGGGGCUACGACGAGCGGCGAACGGGUGAGUAACACGUGGGUGACCUGCCCUCAGCUCUGGGAUAAGCCCGGGAAACUGGGGUACUAAUACCGGAUAUGACUCCAUGACGCAUGUUGUGGGGUGGAAAGCCUUGUGCGGCUGAGGAUGGGCCCGCGGCCUAUCAGCUUGUUGGUGGGGUGAGGCCUACCAAGGCGACGACGGGUAGCCGGCCUGAGAGGGCGACCGGCCACACUGGGACUGAGACACGGCCCAGACUCCUACGGGGAGGCAGCAGUGGGGAAUCUUGCGCAAUGGGCGAAAAGCCUGACGCAGCGACGCCGCGUGAGGGAUGACGGCCUGUGUAAC
rnacentral:rRNA from 1 species